GGAUUAGAUACCCUGGUAGUCCACGCCGUAAACGAUGAGUACUAGGUUUUGCGGGUCUUGACCCCCGCGGAGCCGUAGCUAACGCAAUAAGUACUCCGCCUGGGAAGUACGGUCGCAAGACUAAAACUCAAAGGAAUUGACGGGGGCCCGCACAAGCGGUGGAUCAUGUGGUUUAAUUCGAAGCAACGCGCAGAACCUUACCUGGGUUUGACAUCCUCUGACACCCCUAGAGAUAGGGUUUUCUAGCAAUAGACAGAGUGACAGGUGCUGCAUGGCUGUCGUCAGCUCGUGUCG
rnacentral:rRNA from 1 species